rnacentral:rRNA from 1 species
UACGUAGGGGGCAAGCGUUGUCCGGAUUUAUUGGGCGUAAAGAGCGUGUAGGCGGCCAUACAGGUCCGUUGUGAAAACUGGAGGCUUAACCUCCAGACGUCGAUGGAAACCGUAUGGCUAGAGUCCGGAAGAGGAGAGUGGAAUUCCUGGUGUAGCGGUGAAAUGCGCAGAUAUCAGGAAGAACACCCGUGGCGAAGGCGGCUCUCUGGGACGGUACUGACGCUGAGACGCGAAAGCGUGGAGAGCGAACAGG